rnacentral:lncRNA from 1 species
CUAAUGAGGAGUCAUUUACAAAUUAAUAAAAUCAUUUGAUACUUAUUACUUGAUGGCAAAUUUUUUUAAUUUUCAAGUACUUUAACCUGGCUAUUUUCUCUAACUAGGCAAACCCAAGAAGGAAAUUUGUAUUCAAGAGAUUUCGGUAGUCCGAGACUUUCCAGAUGUGUUUUCGGACGAACUACCCGAACUACCAGUGGACAGGGAAGUUGAGUUCACUAUAGACCUACAACCAGG